rnacentral:tRNA from 1 species
GCAGGCGUGGCGGAACGGUAUACGCAACGGACUUAAAAUCCGUGGGGAGCAAUCCCGUGAGGGUUCAAGUCCCUCCGCCUGCACCA